rnacentral:rRNA from 1 species
GACAGAGGGGGCAAGCGUUGCUCGGAAUCACUGGGCGUAAAGGGCGCGUAGGCGGGAUGGCAAGUCAGUCGUGAAAUCUCUCGGCUCAACCGAGAAACGUCGGCUGAUACUGCCGUUCUUGAGGGAUGCAGAGGAGACUGGAAUUCCCGGUGUAGCGGUGAAAUGUGUAGAGAUCGGGAGGAACACCUGUGGCGAAGGCGGCUUUCUGGGCCUUACCUGACGCUGAGACGCGAAAGCGUGGGGAGCGAACCGG